UAAUACAAUUAAGUUUAGGAUAACAAAUGAAUAGUUUACAGCAUUUUAUAUUAUUGUUCGACAAUGUUUUUUUUUGCUUUGCCCCGAAAUUCGACACAUGUCUUUGGAGGGAAGAUGCUCGUUUUAUGGCUUACUGAUGUGGAGACUCUGGGUUCAUACCACAAGAUUCAUUUUCCCAUGGAGUGACCCGUGUGAGCUGUGCGCCUGCAUUGCUGUGUUUUACAGGAAAGGCUUCCUGUCGUUGCCAGCAUCUCUUAAAAGGUAGAGGUCCGCGAGGGACGAGAGGAAAGUGGAUUUCAACCAGAUGGGGGAAUCGGCUGCAUACAGCUCUGAGCGCCUCUGAGUCAGGCUAAACAGUGGGCACAGUCAUCCUCACAUUGGGCCAAAUGGAAGAGUGAAGUCACAAACACCAUGGAGCUACUUAGAGGAGGACUGCAGUGCUGUAAACAUGUUUCUCUCAUUGGUGUGUGGUCUUAGACACUCAUUAAAGAUGGAGUGGGUGGACUUGUUGGGGAGCCUUUUGUACAUCUGCUCUCAUGUAAGAGAUUUGUUUAUAAUAUACCACAUUAUGGAGUUAUUGUGUUAGGUGGCCUGGGCCAACUUUAUGUCAUUUGUGGUCUCUGGAAUUUAUACAGUUAUUACCAUAA